ensembl:lncRNA
AGUUUCCUUUUGAACUUGAGUUCUGGGGGAGAAGUCCUUCAUCAAGCUAUAUGAAUUGCACUCUAGAAAUCAAUCCAGAUGUGACAAGCCUACAGGAGUACUGCAAGAACAGCCAACAUAAAAAUGUUCAGUAAAAUUGUUCAGAAGUAAAAGAGUCCCUGAGUGCACUGUCCAAGCCAUUGUGCUUCACUCCAUGUAGCCAAGAUGGGUCAUUGAUCUUCUGACUUCCCCAGCAAUGUUGACAGAUGGGAAACGAAAUUGAUUUUGCUUACUGCACUGUUUCUAAAAGGAAGAGAUCCAAGCAUAUACUACAAAAAAGGCUUGCUCAACAGCGGUGCUCCAGAAUAGGUUCUUUCCAGGCUGUUCUUGCAGAGUGUGCACACUGAACCAAGGAAACACAUCAAUACCUUCCACGAGCAUCUUGACUUCUUAAAGAUACAGACCAAGGCCAUCCACCUUGGAUAUUCACUGUCAGAUUUGCCUCAGCCUUCAAAGACCUCUUGUCACUUAGUACAAAGAAUAUGUUGUUGACUUUACGGGUGAGUGCUGUGUUCCUCUGAAGAAUCCCUUUGUCAGCAUGAAAAAUGCAGUGUGGAGACCACAACAGACAGAAGAGAAAAGGAAGAUAAAGAAAAGCAGAAAAGAAAGCAGGAAGAAGACCGAAGCAACAGCAGAAUAUUGAAGAGGAAGGAUCUGGAAAACAGAGCAGCCCAGGAAAGUAAAAAACAAAGCUAGGGGACAGAAAGAAUCCCCAUUCCCUCUGUGUACCAUUAAGGAUCAAUCUAGAUAAAGAUUAAUUAGGAUAAAGCUAGAGAUUGAUUGGUGGUCUCUGGCAAAAGGGAUAAUAAUCUACCAACAGAUGUGUAUUGCAGGUUAUAUGAAGGAAGUCAGUGCACCUAGUAUGACUUUGAAGAUAUUUUGAAAGGAUUUGGCACUUCAGCCUUCAUGCAGAAGCAACACUGCUUAGUUUACUGAUAUCAUAGGCAUCAGUUUAGUGAUCUCAUAGGUGGCACUGCAUAUGUCCAAACAUCAUAACCAAAUGCUGGCACAGCACUGCCCGAAUCUUGAAGGAUCAUGCACUGUUCAGGGUGAGGCUAUAUCUUAAUCUCAGCUUCUCUUGGCACAAUAGCAGGAAGAUUGACUACUGGUGAUCAAUCACCUAUACCUGUACAGCAAAAAUGUUAAAAAACAUGUCACCUGCCCCUACCUACUCCCUCUGUUUGCUUUUGGGAUGAAGCUACAAGUCUCUGAUAUCUGAAGCCCUUUGUCACAUGGAAGCUUCAGUUUCAGAUGAAAGGAGCUAUGGAGAGAACAGUAACCAGCAUUUUGCUGUUCUUAUUGGAGGGAAAUGUGCAAACUCACAUUUGGUGCUGGCAACCUCCUUUGUUACACAAAGAGGAAAAGAGGGUGCUGACAAUAGUUGUGUAUGCCACCACUUAGGGGAGAAAUGCUCACCUUCUGCCAUUCCCCACAAUUUAUCCAUGUGGCCAUGAUGAACUGAUGGGAAGAUCAGAGAGAGACAGAAUUUAAUCUUUCCUAAAAGGGUGGUGUGAUUUUGUUCACAGGGCCUCUUCUUAUACUAAUUAACAAUUUUUGAAAGACUUCUCUGAUCAAGAUUUCCCAUCCCCCUUCAAAAGCCUGCAUUGUCUCUAGUCUAAGGCUUCUGGUGACUGCUCCAUGCAAAGCACAGAAAUGAACAGACAGGAAAGGGGAGGAGUUACAGUUUUUCUUAAUAGACCAUCUGGAUCACAUAACCACCAAACUGCUCAUUUAAUGAGGCGGGACAUAUCGCACUAUUUGUAUUAUAUCUUGCAGCUGCUGUGACAGUAAAUUCCACAUAUCUGUAUCCCUGACCACAAACCAGACUUUGCACAGGAGGGAGAAUGCUGCUGUAAAAGUUUGUUGCUGAGAUACUUGCAGAUUUUUCACAUAUUGCUGUACUGCCAACUGCCUAUGGGAUAUAAAUAGCACUCCCUCCUGUCUUAUUUACAGAUGCCCAGAAAACCCCCAGCCCCUGCUUGGUGAUUCUUUGACUAUGCUCUCAUUAAGAGUCAGAUCUAAAACAAGCCUGGGAUAAACAGUUCAAGUCAAGGGGUGCUGCAAAUAUUCAGUAACAUUAUGGUUCUCACUGAGAAAUAUAAUAAAUCCUAAGACCAUUGCU